GUAACAACUCACCUGCCGAAGCAACUAGCCCUGAAAAUGGAUGGCGCUGAAGCGUCGUGCUUAUACUCGGCCGUCAGGGCAAGAGAGGCUGGACUUGUCCGCCAUGAAGCUCUGACGAGUAGGAGGGUCGCGUCGGUGUGCGCAGAAGGGUCUGGGCGUGAGCCUGCCUGGAGCCGCCGACGGUGCAGAUCUUGGUGGUAGUAGCAAAUACUCCAGAGAGGCCCUGGAGGACUGAUGUGGUAGAAGGGUUUCGUGUGAACAGCCGUUGCACACGAGUCAGUCGAUCCUAAGCCCUAGGAGAAAUCCGAAGUCGAUGCGCGAGUCUUGCUAUGCUUUUUGCCCUGUGCGAAAAACAAACAGAGGUGCAGACCGCCGUCGGGCGAAAGGGAAUCCGGUUCCUAUUCCGGAACCCAGCAUCGGAACCGUUCCAAUCGGGCCCUUAAAGCUCGUCAGGGUAACCUAACAUGCCCCGGAGACGCCGUCGGGAGCUGCCGGGAGAGUUAUCUUUUCUGUAUAAGUGCGCACACCCCCUGGAAGCCUCUAGCAGGGAGAUAGGGGGCAGCGCGCGAAGAGCAUCGCACUUGCGGCGAUGUCGGCAGCGUCCUCUCGGACCUUGAAAAUCCGGGUGAGGGCCACGUGGACAUCCGAUCUGGUUCGUACCCAUAUCCGCAGCAGGUCUCCAAGGUGAAUAGCCUCUAGUCGAUAGAAUAAUGUAGGUAAGGGAAGUCGGCAAAUUGGAUCCGUAACUUCGGGAUAAGGAUUGGCUCUGAGGUUCUAGGUGAGUCGGGCUUGUCAGAGAAGCGGUCGGUUCUUGUGUCGGAUGCCGGGCCUGGGUGAGGUCGAGCCGCAAGGCGAGAUCAAUCCCGGUCCCAGCGCUUCGGCCUACCCCGUGGACCUUUCAAGCUUCAGGGGGCCGUGGAUCACGGCGGCUGGGCAACUGGCCGUCCCGCGCGUCUCCUACGGCCACCAUCUAAAGAACAACUUAGAACUGGCACUGACCAGGGGAAUCCGACUGUCUAAUUAAAACAAAGCAUUGCGAUGGACCUAGCGGUUGUUGACGCAAUGUGAUUUCUGCCCAGUGCUCUGAAU
rnacentral:rRNA from 1 species